rnacentral:rRNA from 1 species
GACGAACGCUGGCGGCGUGCCUAAUACAUGCAAGUAGAACGCUGAAGGAGGAGCUUGCUCUUCUGGAUGAGUUGCGAACGGGUGAGUAACGCGUAGGUAACCUGCCUGGUAGCGGGGGAUAACUAUUGGAAACGAUAGCUAAUACCGCAUAAGAGUAGAUGUUGCAUGACAUUUGCUUAAAAGGUGCAAUUGCAUCACUACCAGAUGGACCUGCGUUGUAUUAGCUAGUUGGUGGGGUAACGGCUCACCAAGGCAACGAUACAUAGCCGACCUGAGAGGGUGAUCGGCCACACUGGGACUGAGACACGGCCCAGACUCCUACGGGAGGCAGCAGUAGGGAAUCUUCGGCAAUGGACGGAAGUCUGACCGAGCAACGCCGCGUGAGUGAAGAAGGUUUUCGGAUCGUAAAGCUCUGUUGUAAGAGAAGAACGAGUGUGAGAGUGGAAAGUUCACACUGUGACGGUAUCUUACCAGAAAGGGACGGCUAACUACGUGCCAGCAGCCGCGGUAAUACGUAGGUCCCGAGCGUUGUCCGGAUUUAUUGGGCGUAAAGCGAGCGCAGGCGGUUAGAUAAGUCUGAAGUUAAAGGCUGUGGCUUAACCAUAGUACGCUUUGGAAACUGUUUAACUUGAGUGCAAGAGGGGAGAGUGGAAUUCCAUGUGUAGCGGUGAAAUGCGUAGAUAUAUGGAGGAACACCGGUGGCGGAAGCGGCUCUCUGGCUUGUAACUGACGCUGAGGCUCGAAAGCGUGGGGAGCAAACAGG